GUCUCAAUCGUGUGGACAUCAUUGGGAAUGGAGGGAAAUAACUGACUGUAUGGUCGUUGCUUUUCAAGUUUCAAACUGACAUUCCAGGCGGGCUGUGCCUGAGCCAGCAUCUGCUUUCAGAUCUUCACAGCCUGGUCCUGGGAAGGUGGGGCCCUCAGCUUCUCCCUGGCGAGAGAGCUGCUCCUAAAGCAGCAGCAACCUGAGAGCGCGGAUGCUUAAGGGAGAGCACACAUCUGGAGCAGCAUCUAGCAGAUGGGAUGAGCUCAACAAACGACGGCCAAGAGGACCCGGCUGUGUUCGGGGCAGCCCUGGGGAAGGCUCGCACUCUGCUGACGGAUCAGUUAAAGGCUGAAACUUUCUGAACCACGGAAUAACUGGGAGAUGAAACAGGAAGCUUUAUGACACACUUGCUCGAAAAAUGACACAGGCACCGAAAACAGGACUCAGUCCCCUGCAGCACCUCUACCUGCUGCCCACAGCCGAGUGCAGGGGAAGGGCUGGCCCUGGGACCUGACUCCAUUCUGCCAUGGACUCUAAGGGCCUCCACGUUCAGUGGUGAUGUCUCUGCGAUAUUGUGGUUAUGGUCUAGUCUGGUCGGUUUCUUAUUCUCUGGCCAGUCUCUGUGUGUCUUCAUCCCUUUUCCUUCAUUAAAAGCAUAAC